CUUGCUCUCAAUUCGUUAGCGGCGGACGGGUGAGUAACACGUGGGCAACCUGCCCUGUAGACUGGGAUAACUUCGGGAAACCGAAGCUAAUACCGGAUAAUCUUUAGCGUCACAUGGCGCAAAAGUAAAAGUUGGGUUUACCUAACACUACAGGAUGGGCCCGCGGCGCAUUAGCUAGUUGGUAAGGUAAUGGCUUACCAAGGCGACGAUGCGUAGCCGACCUGAGAGGGUGAUCGGCCACACUGGGACUGAGACACGGCCCAGACUCCUACGGGAGGCAGCAGUAGGGAAUCUUCCGCAAUGGACGAAAGUCUGACGGAGCAACGCCGCGUGAACGAUGAAGGCCUUCGGGUCGUAAAGUUCUGUUGUUAGGGAAGAACAAGUACCGUUCAAAUAGGGCGGUACCUUGACGGUACCUAACCAGAAAGCCACGGCUAACUACGUGCCAGCAGCCGCGGUAAUACGUAGGUGGCAAGCGUUGUCCGGAAUUAUUGGGCGUAAAGCGCGCGCAGGCGGUCUCUUAAGUCUGAUGUGAAAGCCCACGGCUCAACCGUGGAGGGUCAUUGGAAACUGGGAGACUUGAGUGCAGAAGAGGAGAGUGGAAUUCCAUGUGUAGCGGUGAAAUGCGUAGAUAUAUGGAGGAACACCAGUGGCGAAGGCGACUCUCUGGUCUGUAACUGACGCUGAGGCGCGAAAGCGUGGGGAGCAAACAGGAUUAGAUACCCUGGUAGUCCACGCCGUAAACGAUGAGUGCUAGGUGUUAGGGGUUUCGAUGCCCUUAGUGCCGAAGUUAACACAUUAAGCACUCCGCCUGGGGAGUACGACCGCAAGGUUGAAACUCAAAGGAAUUGACGGGGGCCCGCACAAGCAGUGGAGCAUGUGGUUUAAUUCGAAGCAACGCGAAGAACCUUACCAGGUCUUGACAUCCUUUGACAACCCUAG
rnacentral:rRNA from 1 species